rnacentral:rRNA from 1 species
CCUACGGGGGGCAGCAGUGGGGGAUAUUGCACAAUGGGGGAAACCCUGAUGCAGCGACGCCGCGUGGGUGAAGAAGCGCCUCGGCGCGUAAAGCCCUGUCAGCAGGGAAGAAAAUGACGGUACCUGAAGAAGAAGCCCCGGCUAACUACGUGCCAGCAGCCGCGGUAAUACGUAGGGGGCAAGCGUUAUCCGGAUUUACUGGGUGUAAAGGGGGCGCAGACGGCGGUGCAAGACAGGAGUGAAAGCCCGGUGCCCAACCCCGGGACUUCUCUUGGAACUGCGUGGCUAGAGUGCAGGAGGGGAAG